UGUGUGUUUUGUGACACAAGUACAUGGAGGUACUGCAGCAUUUGAGCAUCAGAUGGCUCAGUUUGGACCUCGCUGUGAAUCGUAUACUCCGUCUCUACAAUGCUGUAAAGAGCUGCUUUAGAGCAUUUUGUGGAGCGACUCCACAGAUGAAAGGCAAGCCAGAUUUGUGAGACUCCAUGCCUGUUUUCAGGAUCCAACCACUGAAGUUCAUCUGUUACUGAGCACGUCUACCUACAUUUAUUGAAGAACCAUGCCUCCAUCUCCUUCAUGGAUAGAACCAUAAUCUCCCAUUUGACGAUACCAGAGAACAGGACAGCAUGGGUGAGGAGUUUCAAAUGCUAGACACAGACAUUCCAGAAAGGGUCUGGAAAUCUGCCCUGCUUAAGGUGGAUGGGGAGAAAGAAUUCCACCGAACGGACAUCAUAUGGGCACACUUGAGUGCCAUGAAGAGCCGUUUAACAGGUGCACUCAGGUUCCAAAGACUUGCAAAAGUGGCACAGCUUGGUUCUCAGAUGGAACCAUGCUACAAAUAUGAGCCACCUCUGCAGAUGAUUAAAAACUCAGUCUGCAUCCUCUGAAUAUAAAGACCAUUCAACAAAAUAGAUUCAUAAAAAAUGUCAGAAAAUGUCUUUCCUAUUUUACUUCAAAAUAAAAGCAUAAAAUGUAUAUUUAUAUUUUCAUUGUUUUCAUGACCGUUGUGCACAUUUUACCCCCUAAUUCUCAUUUCCGCACAGCAAAAAAGGUGAUUUGAUUCAUAAAUCUCACUGCAGCCAGGUAACCAAAGUUGGCAACCCUGUACUACAGAAUGUGCAGAUUUCUUUAAAAUGAUCAGUUAUCAUGUUUUUAUAAUUACUUACUGACAUUUCUCAAUACUAUGUUCACUUUUUCAAAACUCUUCACACAGUUGGUUUUUACCAGCGUGCAGCUCAGUACAGCAGUUAACCUCACAUCCAUAAUGCACUAUAACUAUUGAAACACUUCACACACGCCUCAGAACCAACUCAUUCUACCAGAACACUAGCAAAGGCUUUCUCUCUCUCAACAACAUAUACCUGGAGUAUACCAGAAAUACACCCUGGAUUGUAUACCAGUCAACUGCAGUAACCAGACACACCCACAAUCAUAACAAGGAACAAUUUGUCUUAGCCAAUACUCCU